rnacentral:rRNA from 1 species
GACGGAGGAUCCAAGCGUUAUCCGGAAUCAUUGGGUUUAAAGGGUCCGUAGGCGGUUUAAUAAGUCAGUGGUGAAAGCCCAUCGCUCAACGGUGGAACGGCCAUUGAUACUGUUAAACUUGAAUUAUUAGGAAGUAACUAGAAUAUGUAGUGUAGCGGUGAAAUGCUUAGAGAUUACAUGGAAUACCAAUUGCGAAGGCAGGUUACUACUAAUGGAUUGACGCUGAUGGACGAAAGCGUGGGUAGCGAACAGG